rnacentral:rRNA from 1 species
AUUGAACGCUGGCGGCAUGCCUUACACAUGCAAGUCGAACGGUAACAGGUCUUCGGAUGCUGACGAGUGGCGAACGGGUGAGUAAUACAUCGGAACGUGCCCGAUCGUGGGGGAUAACGCAGCGAAAGCUGUGCUAAUACCGCAUACGAUCUACGGAUGAAAGCGGGGGAUCGCAAGACCUCGCGCGGACGGAGCGGCCGAUGGCAGAUUAGGUAGUUGGUGGGAUAAAAGCUUACCAAGCCGACGAUCUGUAGCUGGUCUGAGAGGACGACCAGCCACACUGGGACUGAGACACGGCCCAGACUCCUACGGGAGGCAGCAGUGGGGAAUUUUGGACAAUGGGGGAAACCCUGAUCCAGCCAUGCCGCGUGCAGGAUGAAGGCCUUCGGUUGUAAACUGCUUUGUACGGUAACGAAAGGUACCGUUUCUAAUAAAGAAGGGACGUCAUGACAGUACCGUAAGAAUAAGACACCGGCUAACUACGUAGCCAGCAGCCGCGGUAA